rnacentral:RNase_P_RNA from 1 species
CCGCCGGACGGCUGCGCGGCGCGGGGAGACCCGCGUUGUGAGGAAAGUCCGAGCUCCACAGGGCAAGGUGCCGGAUAACACCCGGCGGAGGCGACUCCAGGGAAAGUGCAACAGAAAGAUACCGCCCCGGUUUUACCGGAGUAAGGAUGGAAAGGCGAGGCAAGAGCUCACCCGCGGCUUGGCGACUUGACCGCGAUGUAAACCCCACCCGGAGCAAGAUUGGAAUGGGAACGCAUAUGGCUGCCCGUCAUGUUCCCCGUAAUCGCAUGAACCGGCUGGUAACAGCCGGUCUAGAUAGAUGGUCGUCUAAGACAGAACUCGGCUUACAGACGG